GUAGUUGUAUGUCUGUUUUGUGUUAAAAACGCACGCUUGCUUAUGGAAGCAAGAAUGUUACAUACUGCCAUGACUGGGCUUUCCACUGUAGUGGAAAGCCCAAUGACGAAUUGCCCAGACUUCAGACGCAAACCGGGAUCUGAUCAGAUGCACACUUGCAGAUACCAGCUUGAUGACUAAUAAAUACUAUAAAGACCACGGGAUUCGCGGCGACAUAACUCCAAAAAUGAUACCGGGAGUACACGAUGGAGAGAGAGAGAUGAAAUGACAAGGAAAGCACAACUGACCAGGCGACCAAAAUAUACAUUUUCAGAAGUCCUUUUCAAAUGACAUCUUCUCAUCAGAUAAGUCUAAUCUUAUGGUAUAUGAUUUAAAGAGCCUCCGCUCUUAUGACUUCAUAAAAUGGCGUCACUGUCCACACCUUUGUCAAAUUUCUCAUCAUCCAUCCGUCAUCUAGACGUCAUACCAUCUUCUAUAUUUGGGGAUUUGCUUUAGGAAGUCACAUUUCUGUGGUUAAAUUAUUGACUUUGCCAUAAAAGGAUCAGAAUAAGGCAACUCACACGUGCAGUUAUGAAGUACUUAUAUUUAGAAAUUACGUAUUUGCAAAGUGCAUUAAUAAUUUU